rnacentral:tRNA from 1 species
GUCCUAGUAGUACAACUCAGUACCCUGGUCUUGUAAACCAGAAAUGGAAACCACACUUCCCUAAGACA